UACGNNCGNGNUUAAAGNNAGCUUGCUAUUUUUAUGAAGAGCGGCGAACGGGUGAGUAACGCGUGGGAAAUCUGCCGAGUAGCGGGGGACAACGUUUGGAAACGAACGCUAAUACCGCAUAACAAUGAGAAUCGCAUGAUUCUUAUUUAAAAGAAGCAAUUGCUUCACUACUUGAUGAUCCCGCGUUGUAUUAGCUAGUUGGUAGUGUAAAGGACUACCAAGGCGAUGAUACAUAGCCGACCUGAGAGGGUGAUCGGCCACACUGGGACUGAGACACGGCCCAGACUCCUACGGGAGGCAGCAGUAGGGAAUCUUCGGCAAUGGGGGCAACCCUGACCGAGCAACGCCGCGUGAGUGAAGAAGGUUUUCGGAUCGUAAAACUCUGUUGUUAGAGAANAACGUUAAGUAGAGUGGAAAAUUACUUAAGUGACGGUAUCUAACCAGAAAGGGACGGCUACUACGUGCCAGCAGCCGCGGUAAUACGUAGGUCCCAAGCGUUGUCCGGAUUUAUUGGGCGUAAAGCGAGCCCAGGUGGUUUCUUAAGUCUGAUGUAAAAGGCANUGGCUCAACCAUUGUGUGCAUUGGAAACUGGGANACUUGANUGCAGGAAAAGAAAGUGNAAUUCCNUGUGUANCGGUGAA
rnacentral:rRNA from 1 species